rnacentral:rRNA from 1 species
CUUUUGUGGGGUGCUCGAGUGGCGAACGGGUGAGUAACACGUGAGUAACCUGCCCUUGACUUUGGGAUAACUUCAGGAAACUGGGGCUAAUACCGGAUAGGAGCUCCUGCUGCAUGGUGGGGGUUGGAAAGUUUCGGCGGUUGGGGACGGACUCGCGGCUUAUCAGCUUGUUGGUGGGGUAGUGGCUUACCAAGGCUUUGACGGGUAGCCGGCCUGAGAGGGUGACCGGCCACAUUGGGACUGAGAUACGGCCCAG